CUUCAACGACCCCAGGUAGAGCGGGCGUUCGGCCGGCCGGUCCUGUCCGUAGGUGGCCAGCAGCGCCUCGGCCUC
rnacentral:antisense_RNA from 1 species